rnacentral:rRNA from 1 species
GACGAACGCUGGCGGCGUGCUUAACACAUGCAAGUCGAACGAAGUGGCGAACGGGUGAGUAACGCGUAAUCAACCUGCCCUUCAGAGGGGGACAACAGUUGGAAACGACUGCUAAUACCGCAUACUGAAGGAGGGGAUUGCGUCUGAUCAGCUAGGUGGAGGGGUAACGGCCCACCAAGGCGAAGAUCAGUAGCCCGUCGGAGAGGAGGGACGGCCACAUUGGGACUUGGACACGGCCCAGACUCCUACGGGAGGCAGCAGUGGGGAAUCUUCCGGAAUGGACGAAAGUCUGGCGGGGCAAAGCCGCGGGAGUGAUGACGGCCUUCGGGUUGUAAAGCUCUUUUAAUCGGGACGCGGUACCGGAAGAGAAAGCCACGGCUAACUACGUGCCAGCAGCCGCGGUAAUAC